UGACAACAUAGGAGACAAAUUUUUGCUCUCCCUUUCAAGGGAUUUUUCAUCUUCCAAAGGGAUUCCGGAAGAUCGACAUAGACAAAUGGGAGUUUUUCAAUGAAGGAUUCCAGAAAGGAAAGAAGCAUUUACUGAAGAACAUUCAAAAGCGAAGGUCGUCUCAAUCGCAACAAGUUGGUAACUAUGUUGGAACUUCUUCUUCUUCUUCCAAUGCUGCAGGGAAAUCUGGAGUUGAAAUUGAGGUAGAAAAAUUGAAAAAGGAAAGAAGUGUGCUAAUGCAAGAAAUGAUUGAAUUGCAGCAA